GGAGAAGCCAGCCUGUGAUCCCGAAUCAGAGGCGGGAGGAGACAUCAGAAGAACAUUCUGGUUGAAGUCAUCUAUCUUCAGGUCCGCAUCGUUGUCAACCAGACUGCUUAGGUCAAUGCCCUUCAACAGUUUGUUUUUCUGGUUAGCCAGCUUCAGAACCAUGUUCUCCUGUCUCAGCUUAUGGUUGGCCUGCUGCAGGUAUUUGAUGUAAUCAAUGGCUUUUCUCAGGACUCCAGACUUGUGCAUCUUGGCGUCU
rnacentral:lncRNA from 1 species